AGAAGUUACUAACUCUCUCUCUUCAAUUGCCAAAAGAUGCCACUCUCUCUUGCCCUCUCUUGAUGUAAAAUCCCUAAAUUUCAUUUCCUAUAUUCCUAAAUCUCUCAUUCAUCAUCACUCAAAGGUUGAAGUUCUUGCUCGUUACUCAUCUAAGAGUAUGGCAAUCCAAAUGUUUGGAAAACAUUUACUGAUCUAUUUGAUUAUUUUCUUUGACGGCAUUGCGACAGGGUAUAUCGAUAAGUAGCUGAGGGCACAUGUGUUUGGGCUAUCAGCUACCAAGAAAGCAAGGACUUCUGCAUCAAUUAAUUUUUCUAAUUGAAAAUCACGUAACCUGAUGUCGUUGUUCUCUAUGGUGUAUAUAUUACAUAAUUGAGGUGUCUGUGAUUAAUAUAGUUUGAAUGUGGAUGCCCUAAAGCUAGCAAACUCAUCUCCUGAUCUGUAGUAUGAAUAAAAAUCCAUUGGUUCUUGAGAAAUGAAACUGCAUAGAUCUGAAAUAAAGCCAAGUUUUGAUCUCUAUCACUUUAAAUGAUUCGAGAGGGAUUACUACAAGCAACCAACUUAUUUAAAGAUUUAAA